AUACGAAGGGGGCUAGCGUUGCUCGGAAUCACUGGGCGUAAAGCGCACGUAGGCGGCUUUUUAAGUCAGGGGUGAAAUCCUUGGAAGCUCAACUCCAGAAACUGGCCUUCGAUACUGGCGAUCUCGAGUUCGGGAGAGGUGAGUGGAAACUGCGAGUGUAGAGGUGAAAUUCGUAAGAUAUUUCGGAAGAACACCAGUGGGCGAAAGGGCGGCCU
rnacentral:rRNA from 1 species